rnacentral:rRNA from 1 species
AUUAACGCUGGCGGCAUGCCUAAUACAUGCAAGUCGAACGAGAAUUUAUUCUAGUGGCGAACGGGUGAGUAAUGUAUUUCUAACCUGCCCUAGAGAGUGGGAUAGCUAUUGGAAACGAUAGCUAAUACCGCAUAGGAUAUUGGAGGGCAUCCUCUAAUGUUUAAAGGUGCGUUUGCACCACUUUGGGAUGGGGAAAUAUCACAUUAGCUUGUUGGCGGGGUAAAGGCCCACCAAGGCGAUGAUGUGUAGCCGAGCUGAGAGGUUGAUCGGCCACAAUGGGACUGAGACACGGCCCAUACUCCUACGGGAGGCAGCAGUAGGGAAUUUUCCACAAUGGACGAAAGUCUGAUGGAGCAAUGCCGCGUGAGGGAUGACGGUCUUCGGAUUGUAAACCUCUGUUGUAAGGGAAGAACAAGCAGGAUAGGAAAUGAUCUUGCUCUGACGGUACCUUACCAGAAAGUCACGGCUAACUAUGUGCCAGCCGCCGCUGUAA